rnacentral:rRNA from 1 species
ACGUAGGGUGCGAGCGUUAAUCGGAAUUACUGGGCGUAAAGCGUGCGCAGGCGGUUUGCUAAGCGAGGUGUGAAAUCCCCGGGCUUAACCUGGGAACUGCGUUUGGGACUGGCAGACUAGAGUGUGAUAGAGGGGGGUAGAAUUCCAGGUGUAGCGGUGAAAUGCGUAGAGAUCUGGAGGAACACCGAUGGCGAAGGCAGCCACCUGGGUCGAUACUGACGCUCAUGCACGAAAGCGUGGGGAGCAAACGG